UUUCCUUUGAAAUAUGUACCAAUCAAAGUACAUAGAAGAGUGUAAAAAAUAUCCUCUUUUGUGAUAGCAGUUUUGUAAGUCAAAGGUGAAUGACAGAGACACACGUGCAGCCCAGCAUCCUUGGUGAGUCACAAGAGCACUUAGAAGUGCAUUUGCUCUGGACAACGCGUGAAUGUGAACAGGACCUACAGCUACCAUCUAUCAUGACUUGAGACUAGAGGGAGAAAUUAUUUAUUAGGCAAAGAAGAAAAAGUGAGGCUGAUUUGACAUAAAGAAAAAGCUUCACCUGACCAAAACAAACUAAUUUUUGAAGGAAAACAAACAAGUAAAUAUGAUUACAUUUGACUCAAGUUGCCAUUCCAGUAGAAGUGAGUAAUAUUUUUCCUUGGAAAUGCCGCUUUUUGUUUUUGGUGAGAAAUCAGUAGCAAUCCAUCGUAGAAAUUCUCUUUGGGCUUGAUUUACUCACAUUAAAGCGCCACGCCUGGAGAAAAUCUCUCUGUGAACCUAGUUACUUAGUGCUUAUUAUGAGUUUUCACAAUUAAAAUGGUUUUCUUUAGCAUGAUAUUUGUAGGAAGGAAAUAUUUUAAAAUGAAGUUUGAUCGUCUCUUGGUCCUUUCUUCACAUGGUUUCAUUUCCUACCUUGUGCAAAAUACUUUCAAUUGGACAACUUUGGAAAGAUUGUUCUGCGAGCAGUGGAAUGGAGCAAUGACAGUAGAACUUCCACCAAGGCUUCUUCAGGAGCGUGGAUGGAAGGAACUGAACUGGAUUAAAGGAAGUGGUGGCUGGCCUCUCUGAUUUUCCUGGGAGUGUUGCCUUGGCUACGAGAAGCUGAGAGCUCAAGGUGAGCCUGGAUCUGCACCUGCAGCAGCAAUAUUUCCAGCAUAUGCUUCAGCAUCAACCUUUACUGUGGAGUGCUGGGGCCAAGAGAGGCAGAAGUCCGGUGGAGAUUUGGAUCUGGGUCCCCAAACUACCAUUUUAUUCCCAAUAGUCAAAGAUCUAAGAGUGUUUUCAAUAGGCUAUUGUGAUUAACAUCAAUUAAAAGAAAAAGAAACUAUUUCUCAUCACUGUAACAAUUAUUUCCACUUUGUGUAUUAUUAUUUUAUUCUUGUCCAUGUGCAAAUGAUUCUUAUAUUAUUGCGAU
rnacentral:lncRNA from 1 species